UUACUACUCCCUCGGUCCAAAACUCUUGUCUUAGGUUUGUCUAGAAAUGUAUGUAUCUAAAUACUAAAACGUGACNNGAUACAUUCAUAUCUAGACAAAUCUAAGACAAGAAUUUUGGGACGCAGGAAGUAUAUA
rfam:Hordeum vulgare subsp. vulgare, WGS project CAJW01000000 data, contig: morex_contig_58262